GCGCCUUGGGCGAGGGAGAUGAGCUCCUCAGCUGCAGGAAAGAGGGAGGCUGCUGGGCUGGAGGCAGCAGGGACGCUCUGCUCCCUGCCAGCUGCCAGCCCCGCUGGCCCCCCGGGAAAACGCCAGGAAUAAAUCUUGCCUGGUGAAGUCGGCAGCUUGGUUUGGUUUGGUUUAGUUUGGUUUGGUUUGGUUUGGUUUGGUCUGGUCUGGUCUGGAUGUGCCCAGCAGAAGCAGGGGCACGAGCACCCUGUGGAGCACCAGAUGAGUGGCACAGGGAGUGAGGAUGGCAUUGGGAGAGGGGUGACAGAAGGGCAGGGUGGCAUGGAGUGUGGUGACAACAAAACAGGGGGACAGGGAGUGUAGGGUCACAGGGGAACAGGGUGGCAGGGUGACAGUGGAUCAGGGUGGCAGGGAACAGGAUGAAGGGGGAGCAGGAGAACAGGGUGCCAUGGGAGAGGGGUAGCAGAGAACAGGGCGACAGGGAGCUAGGAUGGCAGUGGAGCAGGGUGACAGAGGAGCAAGGUGACAGGGGAGCAGAGUGACAGAGGAGCAAGGAGGCAGUGAAACGGGAUGGAAGGGUGACAAGAGAGCAGGGUGGCAGGAGAGUGAGCUGGGUUGGGGUGGCUGAGGAGGGACAAUAACUGCUGGGAGGGAGGUGCUAGGCGGGAGCUGUGUGAGAACCAGUUUGCGAGGUCCAGAUUGGCAGCAGAUCCUGAACCAGGAGGAGCUGAGCAUCCAUACGGCCCCUGCCGAGAUCAGACGCGACGACAGCGACUCGGUUUACUGACCCAUUUCCAUUCACACGGCUGCCAGUAUCUUAGCAACUGCAACAGUCCCCCAAGAACAGGCAUAUUGCCUGCUAUUAGUGACUGCUGCAACUGUGUCAAGGUUAGCUCUCUCCCUCCAAGCCCUGCCGGGUUUGUUUUUUGCCCAGAGCCAGCGCAGUCUGUUCGGUGACAUGUCCCCCGGCAGCCAUCCUGGGUGCUGGGUGCUCAUCUCUGNGCACAGGGGGUCAGGGAGCAGCAGCCGGGCCAGGGGAGAGGCUGGAGGGGCUUUGUGUGGGCU
rnacentral:lncRNA from 1 species